rnacentral:lncRNA from 1 species
AUUCUACUGUUUAUUACACAUAUUACAUUCUUAAAUAAAAAUGCGUCACAUAACAUUUUUUGCAUAGAUAUCUUACAAUAUACCAAUUUAAAAAAGAAUUAUGAAACAGACCAGUAACAAAAAUAAAUUUUUUCUUCAUUAAUAAUUUUGUAACAUUAACAUACCACCAUCAUAUAAUACAAAUAAUAGUUUUAAAUCUUAAGACUUUUGUACAGCAAAAAAACUUGACAAAGUAAAUAACCGAGGGCUAUAAGACUGGGUACUUCUGUGAUAUAUUAUAAAUACCAGAGAAGGCCUGAGAGAAUGUGACGGGGGAGGCUUCAAAAACAUUAGACAUUUAUUUUUGCCUCUGUGUUAGCAAGGAGAUCUUGGCCAUUAACAGGUGUAUUUUUCCUCCCUGGAAUGAAGCAGAAGUGAAGGACCUAGGUUUGCAGAAAUCGUUCUGCCUCCAGUCCAAAGGCCUAGGUUUAAAAUGUCCCCUCUGCCCACCCCCAACCCCUCCCCGCUAUGUGGAACUCCCAGUGUGGUUUCGAUAUACUGGCAAUUAUAAGCAUCCAUCCCCCCCAAAAGAUAUUAGGCACUGGUGGCUACUCCUCCGAAACGUCAGUAGCCUGUUUUCCUUCCGUGAAGGUACGCCACCCUCAUUAUGCUGACGUGGGGUCCAUCUUAUGGCAGUAGACAGAAGCUGGACUCACAGCAAGUUACGAUUCCAAAGCUCACAGUUGAAAAAAAAUUGUAUAAACAGUCCCCAACAAAGAACAUUAUCAACCUUCCCUCAUGACCACUGAGAGGGAGCCCUGUUUGAAAAGAAUAUCUUGUUUGGGAUAUUUGUCCUGUUUCCCGAGGACUUUUAUGUUAAAUGCAAAACACCUGAAAAAUACAGUACUCUAUUGGAAGGAUGCACAUAAGAAAGUUAACUGCAGCUUUAUUUUUCCCUUUUCUGGGAUCUAUUAGGAACCAACAGAGGAGAUUUAAGAGUGUUAAAAGCAAGAAAAUGCUAAUCAGGCAUGAGGUUGGCUGUCCUUUUACCCUGUUAUCAUCAGGCAAUCAAAGAUGUCUCCAAUAUUUUUACAAAAAUGCAGCUUUGUCAUGGAAUCUGAACAUCUCUUUUUCUGGACAUAAUACUCAUUGAAGAACAGUUUCAAAGCCAUCCACUUAGCACCCACCAAAUUCUUAGGCCAAUUCUCACAGUCAACAAAUGACUCUGAAGCAAGCAAGCACCACCAUUGAGUUUCAAUGCACCCUGCUCCAAGAAAGGUCAGGAGCAGAUUACAAAGGACCUCACUGAUACAAAAGAGAGAGAAAUUACUGAACAUUUCAGACACUGAUGAGGACCAAAGGGCCUUUGUUCUGCCACAUUCAAAUGAGACCACAGAUGA